CCAACAGGGUCCUUCCACAACCACAUACUUAUGCCAGUAAAAGCCACAGCUUUUCUCCUCCAAUCCAAGAAGCCUGGACUGCAGUCACCAUCUCAACACACCAACCAAGAGAAAGGCGGAUGGCUCAAUUCAAUAUGGAAAAUUGCACAAUAAAAGUUCCAGGACAUGAAGGCUGCAUACUGUGAACGUCAACCUUCAGGGCACCGUCCUGCGCAGAAGACUUUCUACCCUAAGAGGGAUGGCUGACCGCAGACACUCACAACCAGCACAGACGCCUCCAACCUCAAACUAGGCCCUUCACAGUUGCUGCACUUACCCACCUUCCCAGAGUUUUUGUGUGGUAAUGACAACUGUAAAUAUAGUAUAAAGUAAUGUAUCUAGUGUCAUGUGUAAUACAUUGUUUAAAUUGCCCAUACAUUUCAAU